AGAAUCCUGCAGGAUCAGCCAAAGGCCCAUCUCAUCCAGUCUCUUGUUCAUACAGCAGCCAACCAGAUGCCCAUAGGAACAGCACUCUCCCCACUUGUGACUCCCAGCAACUGGUAUUCAGAGAACAUAGCCAUGGCGUGGGUAAGGUCCCAGGAGUGGCGGUAUGGUCAGAGAUCCGAUCCAUCCUAGACACAUCCUCUAGGUCCUCGGCUAAUUUCUCCUCAACAGUUCCUUCCUUGAUGCCGAUGGGAUUAGGAGGGGUAUCAUUUAGUAUAGGGGGGAGGUUUAUUCCGAACCAGACUCAUCAAACACACUAGAAGUGGGAAUGUCCUGACUGAAGCAAAAUCAUCGCAUAUAUUGUUACUGCAAAGAGAAAUAGAGCUGAAUGUCAUCAGCAUACCGAAGGCCCUGCAUGCCAAGUUCCAGAUGACCUCUCCCAAUGGCUUCAUAUAGCUGUUUAAAAAGCA